GAUUUGUGAUACCAAAGAACAAGUUAGCAGGUUCAUUGGUUCCGGUAUUUCGAGUAGGAAAAAAAGAAGCUAGUGAUUCUGUAAAUGAAGAUAGCACUAAACAGGUGCAAAGGAAAACUAAAUGGGGCCCUGAUCUCACUCAAGAUACUACUGUCAGAAAAGCAAGAGCAUUGGCAUAUCAGAGUCGUGUGGAUCAAAUAACACAACUACUGAGUUCUAGGGGUUUGGAGGGAGAAGGCAGCAAAGACUCAUUAUUAGCCUCUCCUGCUAAACAUCACGAGUCUUCAGAUCAUCAACCUAAUGAUGAGAAUGUGAGAUCAC
rnacentral:misc_RNA from 1 species